rnacentral:rRNA from 1 species
CUGCCUGGUAGUGGGGGAUAACGUCCGGAAACGGACGCUAAUACCGCAUACGUCCUACGGGAGAAAGCAGGGGACCUUCGGGCCUUGCGCUAUCAGAUGAGCCUAGGUCGGAUUAGCUAGUUGGUGGGGUAAUGGCUCACCAAGGCGACGAUCCGUAACUGGUCUGAGAGGAUGAUCAGUCACACUGGAACUGAGACACGGUCCAGACUCCUACGGGAGGCAGCAGUGGGGAAUAUUGGACAAUGGGCGAAAGCCUGAUCCAGCCAUGCCGCGUGUGUGAAGAAGGUCUUCGGAUUGUAAAGCACUUUAAGUUGGGAGGAAGGGCAGUAAAUUAAUACUUUGCUGUUUUGACGUUACCGACAGAAUAAGCACCGGCUAACUCUGUGCCAGCAGCCGCGGUAAUACAGAGGGUGCAAGCGUUAAUCGGAAUUACUGGGCGUAAAGCGCGCGUAGGUGGUUCGUUAAGUUGGAUGUGAAAUCCCCGGGCUCAACCUGGGAACUGCAUUCAAAACUGACGAGCUAGAGUAUGGUAGAGGGUGGUGGAAUUUCCUGUGUAGCGGUGAAAUGCGUAGAUAUAGGAAGGAACACCAGUGGCGAAGGCGACCACCUGGACUGAUACUGACACUGAGGUGCGAAAGCGUGGGGAGCAAAC